UACGAGUGCCUCAAGCGUUAUCCGGAAUCAUUGGGCGUAAAGGAUGUGUAGGUGGCCCUGUUAGUCUCUCGUUAAAUUUUGCGGCUUAACCGUAAACAUGCGGGGGAAACGGCAGGACUUGAGGGUGCAAGGGGUCUCUGGAACUCUAGGUGUAGCGGUGAAAUGCGUAGAUAUCGGGAGGAACACCAGUGGCGAAGGCGGCUACCUGGCACAUAACUGACGCUGAUACGCGAAAGCGUGGGGAGCGAACCGG
rnacentral:rRNA from 1 species